AUCAGGAUUAGAGGUGCUGUGCUGGCUAAAGAAUCCAUGGAGAGGCUUCUCUCUGGUCAAUGUACACUGGAGGAGCUCCACUGCACAGCCAGAAACUUCCUUCUGCCUUGACAAAACACUUCCCCCCUUCACCAGCCUCUAAACCUGGCCCCAAGAGCUCUGCAGCAAUCUGCUUCUAGGGAAAAUUAUGUCAACGCUUUAAGUCCCAGUUUCCACAUCAGCAGAAUGAGGAUAACUGUGAAGAUUAAGCGCACACUGUC